CAAGCCCGCUCCCCCAUCGGUGAAGCGUCUGCCACGGUUUCUGAAGCAGAUGUACCUGGAAACCAAGAUCCCAUUCCAGAUGGCAAAAAUGAAGUUCUGCAGUCAAACAUUUUUGAAGCUUUGAAGAGUCAAAUGGAACGUUUUGAAGGAAGC